CACCAUGAGAGUAGUGGUUUGAGUGCUGGACUAGGACUCUGGAGACCAGGGUUCGAAUCCCAGCUUGGCCA